rnacentral:rRNA from 1 species
UCUGUCCUACGGGGCGCAGCAGUCGGGAAUAUUGCGCAAUGGAGGAAACUCUGACGCGGUGACGCCGCGUGCAGGAAGAAGGUUUUCGGAUUGUAAACUGCUUUAGACAGGGAAGAUAAUGACAGUACCUGUAGAAUAAGCUCCGGCUAACUACGUGCCAGCAGCCGCGGUAAUACGUAGGGAGCAAGCGUUAUCCGGAUUUAUUGGGUGUAAAGGGUGCGUAGACGGGAAUGCAAGUUAGUUGUGAAAUCCCUCGGCUUAACUGAGGAACCGCAACUAAAACUACAUUUCUUG